AAUGAACUACCUUUCCCAUAAUGCAACUGGUCAUGAUCAGGAACUUCCGCGAAAUUCAAACCCCCACUGUGUACUGGACGAAGGACACGCGAUCUUUUGUCUUGUGGAGUUUUAUAUAACACAGUAAGUAAGAGACGCAACAUGCAUGACGGGGAUGAUAAAAUAAUCAAUAAGAAGUUUGAAUCUUUAAAUGAAUGCUGAACCCCAAAGAAGCCAAACGAAGAUUAGAUGUUUUCUGUACUAAACCACAAAUCAGCAUUUGCUGGUAAUCAUAACAGUUACAAAGUGACUCAUUCAUUCCAACUAUUUAUAUCUUAGUAAAACAAUGUUUUUGAUAUUCUAGAAAGGCAUGUAUUCAAGUUUUAGCUUAAUAAAGAUGGUUUACUAUGAUCUCUUAUUCUCUUCAGUCCUGGUCAGUGCAGUUUACAAGACUGUGUUGUUAAAAGGCCAGAUUUAUUUGCUUUAUUUUAUGGUGUAACAUAACCAACCCCACUUGAAGAAUAACCACAUGCUUUUGUAAAGAAUUUAAUAUGCAAGCAUUUUGUAUGUGUUUGUUUUAAUCUUUUAUUUUACAGUAUAAAGUUUAAUUAUAUUUGCAUUUUGUUUGCAGAAGUCAUGUACCACACUUUGUCAACAAUAAAUGUUGUUUCUGCAAUCUGGAUAAAGAAUAAUAUAUUACUGCCUCUUGGAGAACAGCCGGCCGUACUCCAGACAGAGACAAAGACGUGAGGACAUCUAUUGCUUUUAAGUCAUGUACCACACUUUGUCAACAAUGCAUGUUGUUCCUGCAAUCUGGAUGAAGAAUAAUAUAUUACUGCCUCUUGGGAAAACAGCAGACUGUACUCCAGACAGAGACAAAGACGUGAGGACAUCCAUUGCUUUUAAGUCCUAUACCAGACUAUGUUGUUCCAGCUGUCUGGGUAAAGACUGAUACAUUACUGCCUCUUGGAGAACAGCAAACCAUUCUCCAGACAGAGACAAAGACAUGGACAUCAAAACAGAAAAUUAAGUACUUGAUCUUGGAUUGUUUGGAGUGAACGCUGGGAAAUAAUGAAGCAGGAAAUUGACUAAAACAAUUUUUGUACUUGGCUGUAAGAAGUCCUUUGUGUGCACAGACAUGACUGGAGAUUAAAGUUACUAAAUGUUGCUUUUUUUCUAGCUGGUGACAUAACAUGGUAUUAUUUUCAAAUGUAUUUAUCUAAUACACAUUUGCACAUCUGUAAACAUUCAUUUUAUAUAGGAUGUUUUUUAUAUUUAACCAGUUGUUGUAUAUUGCUUUCUGUUAUUACAUCUGUUUUUUUUUUUGCCUGUUUAUUGUUUAAAACAAUUAAGUUAAUGUUUCUCUGUUAGCUUUUAUGUUACUUUGGCUAUUUCUUUGCUUUUAUUUGAUCCUUCUACUGUUAUUUGUUUAUUUGGCAGAACAUUUGACAUUUCAUUUAUUUUGCUGUUAUCUGAAAUUAUCCUUGUCACCAUCAAUAAAACUCUAUAUUUGCUUUA